AAUUCCUCGCCAUAGACCUUAUGGACUACUUCAACCGUUGUUAUAAUACGUGAAGUCUUGCUUGAGAAUGCUCCGAGCACCUAGCUGUGGAAGAAAGAAUGGAAUUUGCAACAACAAAUCCUAAUUCUAAUAGAAUACUAAAAAUACUCUAAUUAGAUCAUAAUAAUGCUAAACAAGCUUAAUCAAAUUCAAAAAAAACUCAAAGAAAUUUCAAACAAACAAUAAGAAUUCUUAAAGAAAUAUUAGAAAGAUCACAAAUAUCACUGAAAUAGAUCUCAAUUCAAUCUUUAUUUAAUUCUAGUGAUAAUCCUAUUGAACUUCAUUCAAAUUUUAGGCCAAAACUGAUUAAAUCUUAAACCCUAAAUCCUAAUUCAAAUCCUAAUCAAAUCCUAAUCAAACCAUAAACCUUAAACCAAUCUCUAAACCAAAUCCUAAAUUCUAAUCCAAACCUUAAUUCAAAUCCUAAAUCCUAAACCAAAUCCUAAACCAAACCAUAAACUAAAUCCUAAACCAAAUCCUAACCAAAUCCUAAAUCCUAACCAAAUUCUCAUCCAAACCCUAAAUCCUAAUCCAAAUCCUAAAUCCUAAUCCAAAUCCUAAAUCCUAACCAAACCCUAAUCCAAAUCCUAAAACAAAUACUAAGUCCUAACCAAAUCCUAAACCCUAAACCAAAACCUAACCCUAAACCAAACCCUAACCUUAAACCAAUCCCUAAUCAAAUCCUAAUAAUUUCUAUAAUAGAUAUAAUCCUCAAUAACUAAUGAAUAAACCGUUGAUCUUAACUUAAAUUUUUCACACUU
rnacentral:lncRNA from 1 species